rnacentral:rRNA from 1 species
GUGUCAGCCGCCGCGGUAAUACCGGCAGCACGAGUGAUGACCGCUAUUAUUGGGCCUAAAGCGUCCGUAGCUGGCCACGCAAGUCUAUCGGGAAAUCCGCGCGCUUAACGCGCGGGCGUCCGGUGGAAACUGCGUGGCUUGGGACCGGAAGACCAGAGGGGUACGUCCGGGGUAGGAGUGAAAUCCCGUAAUCCUGGACGGACCACCGGUGGCGAAAGCGCCUCUGGAAGACGGAUCCGACGGUGAGGGACGAAAGCUCGGGUCACGAACCGGAUUAGAAACCCUUGUAGUCC